rnacentral:rRNA from 1 species
GACGAACGCUGGCGGCGUGCUUAACACAUGCAAGUCGAACGCUGAAGCUCAGCUUUUGUUGGGUGGAUGAGUGGCGAACGGGUGAGUAACACGUGAGUAACCUGCCUCCUUCUUUGGGAUAACGCCCGGAAACGGGUGCUAAUACUGGAUAUUCACUGGUCUUCGCAUGGGGGUUGGUGGAAAGGGUUUUUCUGGUGGGGGAUGGGCUCGCGGCCUAUCAGCUUGUUGGUGGGGUGAUGGCCUACCAAGGCUUUGACGGGUAGCCGGCCUGAGAGGGUGACCGGUAACAUUGGGACUGAGAUACGGCCCAGACUCCUACGGGAGGCAGAAGUGGGGAAUAAUGCACAAUGGGCGCAAGACUGAUGCAGCGACGCCGCGUGAGGGAUGGAGGCCUUCGGGUUGUGAACCUCUUUCGCUAAUGGUCAAGCCGCAACAAUGGUUGUGGUGAGGGUAGUGGGUAAAGAAGCGCCGGCUAACUACGUG